rnacentral:rRNA from 1 species
CUACGUGCCAGCAGCCGCGGUAAUACGUAGGUCCCGAGCGUUGUCCGGAUUUAUUGGGCGUAAAGCGAGCGCAGGCGGUUAGAUAAGUCUGAAGUUAAAGGCUGUGGCUUAACCAUAGUACGCUUUGGAAACUGUUUAACUUGAGUGCAAGAGGGGAGAGUGGAAUUCCAUGUGUAGCGGUGAAAUGCGUAGAUAUAUGGAGGAACACCGGUGGCGAAAGCGGCUCUCUGGCUUGUAACUGACGCUGAGGCUCGAAAGCGUGGGGAGCAAACAGGAUUAGAUACCCUGGUAGUCCACGCCCUGAACGAUGUCGAUUAGCUGUUGGGCAGCAUGACUGCUUAGUAGCGAAGCUAACGCGUGAAAUCGACCGCCUGGGGAGUACGGUCGCAAGAUUAAAACUCAAAGGAAUUGACGGGGACCCGCACAAGCGGUGGAUGAUGUGGAUUAAUUCGAUGCAACGCGAAGAACCUUACCUGGUCUUGACAU